GAUGAACGCUGGCGGCGUGCUUAACACAUGCAAGUCGAACGAUGAAGCCUAGCUUGCUGGGUGGAUUAGUGGCGAACGGGUGAGUAACACGUGAGUAACCUGCCCUUGACUCUGGGAUAAGCCUGGGAAACUGGGUCUAAUACCGGAUAUGACUGCUCCGCGCAUGCGGUGGUGGUGGAAAGCUUUUGCGGUUUUGGAUGGACUCGCGGCCUAUCAGCUUGUUGGUGGGGUAAUGGCCUACCAAGGCGACGACGGGUAGCCGGCCCGAGAGGGUGACCGGCCACACCGGGACUGAGACACGGCCCAGACUCCUACGGGAGGCAGCAGUGGGGAAUAUUGCACAAUGGGCGCAAGCCUGAUGCAGCGACGCCGCGUGAGGGAUGACGGCCUUCGGGUUGUAAACCUCUUUCAGUAGGGAAGAAGCUUUCGGGUGACGGUACCUGCAGAAGAAGCGCCGGCUAACUACGUGCCAGCCGCCGCCGUAACAC
rnacentral:rRNA from 1 species